rnacentral:rRNA from 1 species
UACCGAAUAAAACUUAGUGUCGCAUGACACAAAGUUAAAAGGCGCUUCGGCGUCACCUAUAGAUGGAUCCGCGGUGCAUUAGUUAGUUGGUGGGGUAAAGGCCUACCAAGACAAUGAUGCAUAGCCGAGUUGAGAGACUGAUCGGCCACAUUGGGACUGAGACACGGCCCAAACUCCUACGGGAGGCUGCAGUAGGGAAUCUUCCACAAUGGGCGAAAGCCUGAUGGAGCAACGCCGCGUGUGUGAUGAAGGCUUUCGGGUCGUAAAGCACUGUUGUAUGGGAAGAACAGCUAGAAUAGGAAAUGAUUUCAGUUUGACGGUACCAUACCAGAAAGGGACGGCUAAAUACGUGCCAGCAGCCGCGGUAAUACGUAUGUCCCGAGCGUUAUCCGGAUUUAUUGGGCGUAAAGCGAGCGCAGACGGUUUAUUAAGUCUGAUGUGAAAGCCCGGAGCUCAACUCCGGAAUGGCAUUGGAAACUGGUUAACUUGAGUGCAGUAGAGGUAAGUGGAACUCCAUGUGUAGCGGUGGAAUGCGUAGAUAUAUGGAAGAACACCAGUGGCGAAGGCGACUUACUGGACUGCAACUGACGUUGAGGCUCGAAAGUGUGGGUAGCAAACAGGAUUAGAUACCCUGGUAGUCCACACCGUAAACGAUGAACACUAGGUGUUAGGAGGUUUCCGCCUCUUAGUGCCGAAGCUAACGCAUUAAGUGUUCCGCCUGGGGAGUACGACCGCAAGGUUGAAACUCAAAGGAAUUGACGGGGACCCGCACAAGCGGUGGAGCAUGUGGUUUAAUUCGAAGCAACGCGAAGAACCUUACCAGGUCUUGACAUCCUUUGAAGCUUUUAGAGAUAGAAGUGUUCUCUUCGGAGACAAAGUGACAGGUGGUGCAUGGUCGUCGUCAGCUCGUGUCGUGAGAUGUUGGGUUAAGUCCCGCAACGAGCGCAACCCUUAUUGUUAGUUGCCAGCAUUCAGAUGGGCACUCUAGCGAGACUGCCGGUGACAAACCGGAGGAAGGCGGGGACGACGUCAGAUCAUCAUGCCCCUUAUGACCUGGGCUACACACGUGCUACAAUGGCGUAUACAACGAGUUGCCAACCCGCGAGGGUGAGCUAAUCUCUUAAAGUAC